GACAGAGGUGCCAAGCGUUAGGCGGAAUCACUGGGCUUAAAGCGUGUGUAGGCGGGCGAUCAAGUACCUUGUGAAAUCCCACGGCUCAACCGUGGAACUGCUGGGUAUACUGGUUGUCUUGAGCCAGCUAGGGGCGAGCGGAACAGACGGUGGAGCGGUGAAAUGCGUAGAUAUUCGGAAGAACACCAGUGGCGAAGGCGGCUCACUGGACCGGUAUUGACGCUGAGGUGCGAAAGCGUGGGGAGCAAACAGG
rnacentral:rRNA from 1 species